UUUGCGUCGAAGGUAUACCGGUAAGGAGUGCUGGAGCGAAUAGAAGUGAGCAUGCAGGCAUGAGUAGCGAUAAUUAAUGUGAGAAUCAUUAACGCCGUAAACCCAAGGUUUCCUACGCGAUGCUCGUCAUCGUAGGGUUAGUCGGGUCCUAAGUCGAGUCCGAAAGGGGUAGACGAUGGCAAAUUGGUUAAUAUUCCAAUACCAACAUUAGUGUGCGAUGGAAGGACGCUUAGGGCUAAGGGAGCUAGCGGAUGGAAGUGCUAGUCUAAGGUCGUAGGAGGUUAUACAGGCAAAUCCGUAUAACAAUACUCCGAGAACUGAAAGGCUUUUUGAAGUCUUCGGAUGGAUAGAAGAACCCCUGAUGCCGUCGAGCCAAGAAAAGUUUCUAAGUUUAGCUAAUGUUGCCCGUACCGUAAACCGACACAGGUGGGUGGGAUGAGUAUUCUAAGGCGCGUGGAAGAACUCUCUUUAAGGAACUCUGCAAAAUAGCACCGUAUCUUCGGUAUAAGGUGUGGUUCGCUUCGUAUUAGGAUUUACUCCGAAAGCGAAGAAACUUACAACAAAGAGUCCCUCCCGACUGUUUACCAAAAACACAGCACUCUGCUAACUCGUAAGAGGAUGUAUAGGGUGUGACGCCUGCCCGGUGCUCGAAGGUUAAUUGAUGGGGUUAGCAUUAGCGAAGCUCUUGAUCGAAGCCCGAGUAAACGGCGGCCGUAACUAUAACGGUCCUAAGGUAGCGAAAUUCCUUGUCGGUUAAAUACCGACCUGCAUGAAUGGCGUAACGAGAUGGGAGCUGUCUCAAAGAGGGAUCCAGUGAAAUUGUAGUGGAGGUGAAAAUUCCUCCUACCCGCGGCAAGACGGAGAGACCCCGUGGACCUUUACUACAGCUUGACACUGCUAUUUGGAUAAGAAUGUGCAGGAUAGGUGGGAGGCUUUGAGUAUAUGACGCCAGUUGUAUAUGAGCCAUUGUUGAGAUACCACUCUUUCUUAUUUGGGUAGCUAACCAGCUUGAGUUAUCCUCAAGUGGGACAAUGUCUGGUGGGUAGUUUGACUGGGGCGGUCGCCUCCCAAAUAAUAACGGAGGCUUACAAAGGUUGGCUCAGAACGGUUGGAAAUCGUUCGUAGAGUAUAAAGGUAUAAGCCAGCUUAACUGCAAGACAUACAAGUCAAGCAGAGACGAAAGUCGGUCUUAGUGAUCCGGUGGUUCUGUGUGGAAGGGCCAUCGCUCAAAGGAUAAAAGGUACCCCGGGGAUAACAGGCUGAUCUCCCCCAAGAGCUCACAUCGACGGGGAGGUUUGGCACCUCGAUGUCGGCUCAUCGCAUCCUGGGGCUGGAGCAGGUCCCAAGGGUAUGGCUGUUCGCCAUUUAAAGCGGUACGCGAGCUGGGUUCAGAACGUCGUGAGACAGUUCGGUCCCUAUCUGCCGUGGGCGUAAGAAGAUUGAAGAGAUUUGACCCUAGUACGAGAGGACCGGGUUGAACAAACCACUGGUGUAGCUGUUGUUCUGCCAAGAGCAUCGCAGCGUAGCUAAGUUUGGAAAGGAUAAACGCUGAAAGCAUCUAAGCGUGAAGCCAACUCUAAGAUGAAUCUUCUCUAAGCUCUCUAGAAGACUACUAGUUUGAUAGGCUGGGUGUGUAAUGGAUGAAAGUCCUUUAGCUGACCAGUACUAAUAGAGCGUUUGGCUUAUCUUUAAUAAAGCAU
rnacentral:rRNA from 1 species